rnacentral:rRNA from 1 species
UACAGAGGUGGCAAGCGUUGUUCGGAAUUACUGGGCGUAAAGGGCGAGUAGGUGGCCAUCUAAGUCAGACGUGAAAUCCCCCGGCUUAACCUGGGAACUGCAUCCGAUACUGGAUGGCUUGAAUUCGGGAGAGGGAUGCAGAAUUCCAGGUGUAGCGGUGAAAUGCGUAGAUAUCUGGAGGAAUACCGGUGGCGAAGGCGGCAUCCUGGACCGACAUUGACGCUGAGGAGCGAAAGCUAGGGGAGCAAACGGG